rnacentral:rRNA from 1 species
GGGUCAGUAGGUUGGUCGUGCCACCGGUACGUACUGGUCUCACUGAUUCCUCCUUCCCGAAGAACCGUAAUGCCAUUAAUUUGGUGUUGCGGGGAAACAGGACUGUUACUUUGAAAAAAUUAGAGCGUUUAAAGCAAGCUAACGCUUGAAUACAUUAGCAUGGAAUAAUGAAAUAGGACGAUCGAUCCUAUUUUGUUGGUUUCUAGGAUUGACGUA